UUUUUAAUUUUUUUAUUUUCUUCAUCUACAGUGACACCUUGUCAUUUUUGUUUCUGAUUUAGUAUUUGUAGAUUCUGUGCUAUAUAGAGAAGGCAAGAAUGGAAAUCCCUUUAACUUUCAGCCUUAGUGAAGGUUAAACAUUUGGCUACUCACAAAUUUGUGAGUUUCAAAUCUGUUGAAUCUCAAAACUUGGUUAAUUCAGCAGCUCAUAAACGGUAGAGUUGCAGCGGAAUUGAAACCAAAUUUCCGGUUUGGUUCCAUUUCCCACACCUAAGCAAUGUUCUCCAUGGGGCCCAGUCCUCUGGUAAUGUCACUUCCCCUUACUGAUGGGAUGGGGAAGUAAAGUAGGAUGGGUAAGAGGACUGGUGCCCAAUUAUGCAGAUAAUUCACAUUAAUUAGAACUUCCAGGCUGACUAAUGAUGUUGCUGAAGGUGGAGUUACAUCUCCGGCAGCAGGAUGCUAUAUUUCUCUAUGUGAAACGCUGCAUGUAAAGACUCCAAGCAAAAUGACCACUUAAUCACACUCAAGUGAUAAUGCUGCUUGAAGUAAGCCUAUUAGCGUGCAAGUUUAAUUUUGUAACUUGAGUAGGUAAAGUGGCUAAUAAAAAUAUACUUGUUUGAAUGCCUUGCUCAGAUCAGCGGACAUCCAGUCAUAUUGUUUACAUGAAAGUGUUUUGUGCAAUGUUUGGUUUUCUCUUAUUUGGAAAGUUAUGAAAUAGUUUUUACCGUUAAGACUACGCAUCUAGAAGCCUUGGACGUCUCUUCAAAUUCCCAAGUGUUAUGUGCUGUUGCACAAUGGAUGAACGUUUGGAGAUAUGUCUUGCCAAAUUAGUUCAGAUUCUACAAUACAAAUGUAGUCAAAUGUUUGAUACCCAUAUACUACUGUCAGUAACGAGAGAUUGCUUGUUAAUCCUUUUUAAGGCAGUAAUGUGUAUACCCAUGUGUUUUGUUUUUAAAUGUCAGUGAAAAUCAAAGGAGUGUUUCUUUAAUUUUCACAAUUUUUUAUUUUAUUUUAAUGGAUCACCAUAGGCACCCAGACCUCUUCCGCUCAAUGAAGUGGUCUGGGUGCCAGGUCCCCCUAGUUUUAACUAUGCAGCUGUAAACAUAGCAGUUUCUGCUGUGUUGACAUUGAGGGUUAAUUCAGCCUCUAGUGGCUGUUUCCCUGGCAGCCAGGGAGGCCGCUUCCACGGUUCUCAGUGUGAAAAUCACACUGAGAUGAUGCUGGACGUCAAUAGGAAAGCAUUGAGUAAUGCUUUCCUGUAGCUGUUUGAAUGCGCGGGCGACUCUUGCUGCGCCUUCAGGGCGGACAUCUGCAUGAGGAAGAGAGGUCACCAGUGCCGGAUUAAGGAAAGUGGCUGAAGAGGUUUUAACCCCUUCAGCCCAGUGGGGGAGGGAGGGGGGCUAAUAACCCUAUAGUUGUUUUCCUGGCACUGUAGUGCUCCUUUAACUAUUUUGUAGAUAUAUCAACAACAAAAAGUGUACACGUACAUGAUUUUUCUUGGCAAGGGUAAAUGUGGAAACCGCAUGCAAAGAAUGCAGACCUUUCUUUCCCCAGCACAGACUUUGUCUGUUCAAGUUAGCUGACCAAUCAGAAGCCUCUGUGCUGCUGCGCACAUGCACUCAAUCCUAGCUUUACAAUGCUUGUCAGUGAGCUGUAGGCAGUGCAUCUGCCACUUCCGUUCGCUCUGUGGUGGGAACAGAAGUGGAUGAAAACCUUCCUGGCUGUCUGAGUUGCAGAUGGAGAUGGGUUUCUGCCACAACCUACAAAAGUGCUAGUUUCUAUUAAAAUUGGUAGUUUUUAUAACCUUUUGACCUUCCCACUUGCAGCGUAUUUGUUCUGUUAAAAGUGAAAACACAAUUUUGUCUAGUCAACAGUAGGUGAAAUUAUCGGAUAUUAAAAACUAGACUUAUUCAACAUGCUAUACUAGAAACUUUAAAUGAGCAUUCUAACCAAUGCAGCACACUGUAGUCAGUGUGGUGCUAUGGUUACCCUGGUUCCCUCUCCAGAUAAGAAGUCACUGAGAGCAGUCAUUUUAACUUUCAGUAAAUGAGCCAACCUUGCACAGCAGGACUUGGCUUUUAAUGUUGCUAACGAUAGGUCUUUGCAGGAGCUUCCAGCUACACAUGUGUUUAUGCCUGACAAACCCUACAUAAGUUGUAAGAACAUGUGCAAAUGGUUUGUUUACUUAAUCGGGGAGUGAGCCCGGGCCCUCCUGGCACCAUAAGCACUACAGAGCACUGUAGGUUCAUUGGUGCUUUGUGUUCCUUUCAAAGAGACUUUGAUAAGUGACCCUAAUGUGAAAUUGCCCUCCCAUUGAACUUACAAACACAAACUUUGUAUAUAUGCAAUGUUAUAUAUGUCCUGCUGGUUUAGGGGGAUAAAACCUUCAACUGUAUAAGAGACUCUUGAUUGGUGUGAAUUUGCAAUGGGUGUUACAAUUGUUGGAAUGCUAAAUGUAAAUAUUCUCCCCCCCCCCCCAAUUUUUCACUGCAAGAAAAAUUGGGGUUACUUGCUUUAUAUUGUCUUUGUGACCUUAUGGACACAACUUUCUCCUUUAACUUUAGUUGGCAGUUGCAUAGUAGCCAGUCAUAAAUAAUGUUUUAAAUGUUUUCUUAAUAUUCAAUGUUUAUUUGGAAAUCUCUGGCUUUUGUGCCAAGAUGGAUGUUGGCUGGAAUUCUGAGCAAGCAGUAGUAUUUAAGCAAUGCGUGGACUUGCACGGUUUUUAAUAGCCCGGUGAGCUGCCAAACAGGCUAAAGUGAAAGUCGUAAUGAUGAAGAGACAGUUAUAUUGCAGAAGGAUGACAUGGAGAUCCUGAACCUUUUUUCUACUGCCCAGUUUACUCUUGUGAAAUAGUCCUACUUUGAAUUCACACUGUAACCUGUACAAUUUAUCAUUGUCAAGUUACAAUAAUAUCCAGUUGGCGUGCAUCACAAUGUCAGAGUAUGUCUGAACUGGCUUAUUCAUCACUGCAUUGAGUUAUGUAAUCAUUGUUGAAGCUGUGCUUAACGAAGUAAUCUAAGUACCAUCAACACUACAGCGCAUUUUGGUGGUUAUGGGGUUAUUGGGGUGCAGGCUGUGCUUCUCAUUACUUUUUUUUUUUUUUUUUAAUAAAACAAGUGGAUAGCCGUAGCAUUCAUUGCCCCACUCCUCUGCAAAUACACUGGUAAAGUUAAAUUUUUGUAUGGUCUGUUUUUUUGAUGGGAAUGCUGGCAUAACUCGCAUUCUGUUUGUUAUACAAGGUCAUACUUGAGCUUGCAUAUAUGUGUAAUUUUGCUGUAGAGGGGUUGGCUAUGGGUUCAUGGCCAAUGCAAUGAGCUGUAGUGUUUAUGGUGCUUCAGUGCACCUUUAAAAUCAUGUUUGUUUUUUCCAUAAAAUAGAUCUAUACUAAAUAUAUAACAAUUAGGCAAUUUUCUAUCAUUUGCAGUUUAUAUUUGUAUAGAAUAAACACUGUUUAAGAUUGGCAAAUAAAUUUUGAAAGCUUUUAAAUGA